GUGCCGGAGGGGUGUGUGUGUGGGCGGGCGCUGGUCGGCCAAAUUCCAGGAGUCUUGUGGGCGGAUCCGCGCUUGGGCGUGGGAGGGACUGUAUUUGCCUCGGAGGAGGUUUGAGAGUGGGAGGCGACCCAGGCGUACCCUAGUUUGUGACACGUGAGGGUCUCUCAGUAUAGGUGGGCAUGCGCGCUUUUGUGUGUGUGUGUGUGUGUGUGUGUGUGUGUGUGUGUGUGUAGGGGGCUCUUGGUCCCCAGGCCUUUCUUCACAGGUGGACUGACGAUCUGGUGCUUGGCGUAUGUGGUGGCUGGAGCCAUACGCUGAGAAAGUGAGGAACCGUAGGAGAAGGUGAACUGUGGAUGGAAUACGAUAGGAGAGACCGGGGUGACCUAGUAGAGUGGAGAGUAGAGGAAAGUUUUCCCAAACAAAGGUGCGUGUGGAAAGGCCCAGCAGUUUUAAAGACCGGAACUUAGUCUGAGACACUUCCCAAUUCUUAAUGAACUUGUCUCCAUGAUCAGAGGCUUUUUCUGCUGCUAUUACUAACAUUUAGCAGUUAGUACUCUUAAUUUUUUUAAAUAAAGAUUUAUUUGUUUAUUUUA